CCCGAAAUAGCUUUAGGGCUAGCCUCAAGGUGAGAGAUACGGAGGUAGAGCACUGAAUGUCCUAGGGGGUAUUGCACCUACCGAAGACUAUCAAACUCCGAAUGCCGUCAUCUUAUACUUGGGAGUCAGACUGUGGGGGAUAAGAUUCAUAGUCGAAAGGGCAACAGCCCAGAUCGUCAGCUAAGGUCCCUAAAUGUAAGU
rnacentral:rRNA from 1 species